GAUGAACGCUGGCGGCGUGCCUAAUACAUGCAAGUCGAGCGAACAGACGAGGAGCUUGCUCCUCUGACGUUAGCGGCGGACGGGUGAGUAACACGUGGAUAACCUACCUAUAAGACUGGGAUAACUUCGGGAAACCGGAGCUAAUACCGGAUAAUAUAUUGAACCGCAUGGUUCAAUAGUGAAGGACGGUUUUGCUGUCACUUAUAGAUGGAUCCGCGCCGCAUUAGCUAGUUGGUAAGGUAACGGCUACCAAGGCGACGAUGCGUAGCCGACCUGAGAGGGUGAUCGGCCACACUGGAACUGAGACACGGUCCAGACUCCUACGGGAGGCAGCAGUAGGGAAUCUUCCGCAAUGGGCGAAAGCCUGACGGAGCAACGCCGCGUGAGUGAUGAAGGUCUUCGGAUCGUAAAACUCUGUUAUUAGGGAAGAACAAAUGUGUAAGUAACUAUGCACGUCUUGACGGUACCUAAUCAGAAAGCCACGGCUAACUACGUG
rnacentral:rRNA from 1 species